rnacentral:rRNA from 1 species
UACGUAGGGUGCUAGCGUUGUUCGGAAUCAUUGGGCGUAAAGCGUGUGUAGGUGGUUAAGUAAGUCGGGUGUUGAAAUCCCUGGGCUCAACCGAGGAAGUGCAUUCGAAACUACUUAGCUAGAGGACGGUAGAGGAAGGUGGAAUUCCGUAAUGUAGAGGUGAAAUUCGUAGAUAUUAGGAGGAAUACCGGUGGCGAAGGCGGCCUUCUGGGCCGGGUUCUGACACUGAGACGCGAAAGCGUGGGUAGCAAACAGGG